ACAGACGGGGGGAAACUCCAGGCAUUGCAGUCCUGAUCCUGUAUGAUGCAGAAGAUGUCAAUCCAACCGCACAUUGAUCUCUGCAGCGUGGUCGGUGGGAGGAGAUGUGGCCGAGCAGUUGAACCAGGCUCUAUCGGUGUAAGUGGCUUUCGAUCAAUGUUGAUUUUUGCGUUAAAAGGAUGAAUAUUGGAUGUUAAUGUGCUUGAUUAUGAUGGUUCAGUACCUUGAUUUAGUGUUUGGGAGUCCGCUUCCUGAAGACGUCCAACCUGUGUCUAGUUUAUUGCUUCUCUUUCUGAAAAAUGUACUCAUCGCUUUGGUUAAAAGCAUCUGCUAAAUGCCCUCAAUGUAAAUGUA